rnacentral:lncRNA from 1 species
AUCCAUUUGGAGAGGAAGCCUCAGGACUUCCAAGGACACGAACUUGUCAGGAUGCUCCCAGAACUGGUCAACAAAAAAGGAAAGAUCAAAAGAAAGAGAGAGAGAAAGAAAAGGAAGGAUGGAAGGAAGGAAGGAAGGAAGGAAAGAAGGAAGGAAGGAAGCAAACUGCGGAGAAACUCACAAUCCAGACAAGACGUCCGCUCAAUUUUGGAUUGUAUCAUUCCAGAAUUUUCCACAACAUACUUAAUUAGCCUCUAAUUUUUUUAAUAAAACAUUUCUAACAUUGUGCU